rnacentral:rRNA from 1 species
GGAUUUAAUUCGAAGCAACGCGAAGAACCUUACCUGAUCUUGACAUCCCGAUGACCGUCUUCAGUAAUGGAAGUUUUUCUUCGGAACAUCGGUGACAGGUGGUGCAUGGUUGUCGUCAGCUCGUGUCGUGAGAUGUUGGGUUAAGUCCCGCAACGAGCGCAACCCCUAUCUUCAGUAGCCAGCAGGUUAAGCUGGGCACUCUGGAGAGACUGCCAGGGAUAACCUGGA